GAUCGUCAGCAGCCCUGCCUGCUGCCUCCCUAAGAGCCAGAGCGGAACGGUGAGGUCCGUGAGGCACAGGUGGUGUAGUUGCCUGCAGUGUCUGAUGCUAAAAUCCUAAAAAUCAUCAUCUUUCAGACCAUAUUCAGGAUGGUGAACUUGAGACCAAACAUGUUGUGGGUCAUCUAGUUACCCCUGAGCAAGCUGGAAAUAGGGGGAAAUUCAUGCGACACUGCGGAGUCGUAAACAGGCGCGAAGGAAAACGGAAGCCAUGGAAGGAGGAAGAUGUUUGGCGGAAUCAGUUCUUACUUGAAAAAGAUGAUCACCUUCCACAUCGGAGGGCCUGGGUGUUCCUGGUCGGAUUCGGGUCCUGUUCUCAGCUGUGUUCGUGCCCAGAAUCCGCACAUGGGGCCUCGGCUGCCACUUGUACUAAAACUUCCAAGAUGCUGCUGUGAAAUCGGGGCUGAGAAAUACCAGGAGAGAUCGAGACGCAGGUCUGCGGAGAGAAACACACCUGGGAGAGCUGUCCUUCCUGUUGGUGGCCAGAACUGCUACAGAGCUGUCAUCCUGGGAGUUCUCACUACCAUCCCCCAGAGCCAAAUGUCCUAUAUCCUAUUUCCUGGAUUCUUUUUGGAGAGAGGCAGACUUGAGUGAGGUGGUGGUGGGGAGCUUGUGUGUGCAGCCCAGCCCGCCGUGUUUAACUGAAAACUGUAGCCAGCUUUUAACACGAAUGGUGAGAAGCUAGUUAACAAAACGAAAAAUAACUGAUUACAUUGAUGGACGGAGUCAUCUCUCCAGCCCAGUUCUUCUAUAAAAACAUCAAUUUUUUAUCUGAACGCAAGUACCCAUGCAAGCUGUUUCACUGACAGGCACGUUCCCAAGGUGUUACGAGAACAUAUGUUCACCGUGCACUUCUGUCUUUUCCACGUGAUCUGAAGGAAAAAGAACAACAACGGAUGGAACGGCCAGCUGUCUGCGCGCUGGGAUGUGGAGUUUUGCCAUGAGAGCGUGGGUCCGUACUGUUUACAGAAGAGCACAUGGUGUUUUGUCUCAAUGAGCAGGAAAAUGUUUUGUGAUAAAAUGUGGUAAAAAGCUUGUAGGUUUUUUUCCCAGCUAAGCAGUAAACGGAAGUACACAAUGUAAAAUGAUAAAUAAAAAGCUCUAUGAGUCAUCUUUAGCGUAGGGAAAAUGUGCAGCCAGGACAGUUAAAACGGUAAAAAUAAGAUUGAAUGUGCUGAGACAGAAAUCAAUACAGCGCGUCCUAGGACCCUGAGUAACCGUGGGGCCUGAGGGGUUUAAUGCAGUUUGUGCUUUUUAAAUAAAGUUAUUGAGGU